rnacentral:rRNA from 1 species
AUUGAACGCUGGCGGCAGGCCUAACACAUGCAAGUCGAGUGGAUGAAGGGAGCUUGCUCCUGGAUUCAGCGGCGGACGGGUGAGUAAUGCCUAGGAAUCUGCCUGGUAGUGGGGGAUAACGUCCGGAAACGGGCGCUAAUACCGCAUACGUCCUGAGGGAGAAAGUGGGGGAUCUUCGGACCUCACGCUAUCAGAUGAGCCUAGGUCGGAUUAGCUAGUUGGUGGGGUAAAGGCCUACCAAGGCGACGAUCCGUAACUGGUCUGAGAGGAUGAUCAGUCACACUGGAACUGAGACAUGGUCCAGACUCCUACGGGAGGCAGCAGUGGGGAAUAUUGGACAAUGGGCGAAAGCCUGAUCCAGCCAUGCCGCGUGUGUGAAGAAGGUCUUCGGAUUGUAAAGCACUUUAAGUUGGGAGGAAGGGCAGUAAGUUAAUACCUUGCUGUUUUGACGUUACCAACAGAAUAAGCACCGGCUAACUUCGUG